UUUUUGCAGAUGUUAACAGUGUACAAGAGAAUCAAGAAGAGGCUGUGAGUAAAAAGAGGUUCUUUGCAGGCUAGACAAGAUUGAAAAAGGUAUUGUGCUACAAAUUUCAAGUGGAACCAAGUGUUAUUCUACUAAGAUUUGUAGAUGUUGUGACAUAAAUGGCAAUACAGUUUAUUUUUGAACUA